rnacentral:rRNA from 1 species
UACGUAGGGUGCGAGCGUUAAUCGGAAUUACUGGGCGUAAAGUGUGCGCAGGCGGCCGAGCAAGUCGAGUGUGAAAGCCCCGAGCUUAACUUGGGAAUUGCGCUCGAAACUACGUGGCUGGAGUGUGGCAGAGGAAGGUGGAAUUCCACGUGUAGCGGUGAAAUGCGUAGAGAUGUGGAGGAACACCAAUGGCGAAGGCAGCCUUCUGGGCCAACACUGACGCUCAUGCACGAAAGCGUGGGGAGCAAACAGG